rnacentral:rRNA from 1 species
CACGUGGGUGAUCUGCCCUGCACUUCGGGAUAAGCCUGGGAAACUGGGUCUAAUACCGGAUAUGACCUCCUAUCGCAUGGUGGGUGGUGGAAAGAUUUAUCGGUGCAGGAUGGGCCCGCGGCCUAUCAGCUUGUUGGUGGGGUAAUGGCCUACCAAGGCGACGACGGGUAGCCGACCUGAGAGGGUGACCGGCCACACUGGGACUGAGACACGGCCCAGACUCCUACGGGAGGCAGCAGUGGGGAAUAUUGCACAAUGGGCGAAAGCCUGAUGCAGCGACGCCGCGUGAGGGAUGACGGCCUUCGGGUUGUAAACCUCUUUCAGCAGGGACGAAGCGCAAGUGACGGUACCUGCAGAAGAAGCACCGGCUAACUACGUGCCAGCAGCCGCGGUAAUACGUAGGGUGCAAGCGUUGUCCGGAAUUACUGGGCGUAAAGAGUUCGUAGGCGGUUUGUCGCGUCGUUUGUGAAAACCAGCAGCUCAACUGCUGGCUUGCAGGCGAUACGGGCAGACUUGAGUACUGCAGGGGAGACUGGAAUUCCUGGUGUAGCGGUGAAAUGCGCAGAUAUCAGGAGGAACACCGGUGGCGAAGGCGGGUCUCUGGGCAGUAACUGACGCUGAGGAACGAAAGCGUGGGUAGCGAACAGGAUUAGAUACCCUGGUAGUCCACGCCGUAAACGGUGGGCGCUAGGUGUGGGUUCCUUCCACGGAAUCCGUGCCGUAGCUAACGCAUUAAGCGCCCCGCCUGGG